GAUCGAACAACACAAAACAUAGUUCGUUAGAUUUUAUCGAAUAGAUAAUUAGAAACAAUAUUUAAGAGAAUAUAAGUUAUAAAUAUUUAAUUCAGAAGGUUAAAAAAGACGAAACAGGUGUAAAACAAAGAUAAUUUAGAGCGUAAAGUCAAGUGAAUUGAAGACAAAAAGAGCGGAGUGAACUAUAUAUGUGACGUGAUUUGGUCACGAUCAGCGAUGGAGAAACAGUGGCGUUGGUUUACCUGGAGUUGAAAACGCAGUUCUUGAACACAGAUUUCGACAGAAAUUCAGAGGAUCUAAGAGAAUUGACGGAGGAUAGAUGGAUCAAGUUAGCGUUAAGCAGUUGGUCAGGAUUUUGCAAUUUUUGGAAGGGAACAACGUCAUCUUCAUCGUUAGGACCCGUGGUUGUAGCCAUGAUUUUAAUGAAGACUUGUAGCGGUGCCCUGACAUGGAUAUAAUUUUUUGAGCCUCAGAACCAGCCUCACUUAUGCCGAGUCAUGACUGUCAGGACUGUUGCAUGGAAACAACAGGUUAUCAUCAGAAAGUUCUAUAGAUCUAACUCUGCCUCCAUUUCUUCGCUUCCAAUAUCAAAGUCAUCGUAUGAAUUCGCCAUGUUGCAGAAGUUGCAGUUUUGGAUCACAAAAUUUUCAGUGAACAGCUCUAUGUUGGAGGCCCUCAGAAGAUGAAUAAUUUGUUGACAACACUAUAAAUAAAAGGAGUUCGAAAGUAAUGAACAGGUGUAUUAAAUUGUGGGCUACUUAUCAUGCAUCCAUCUUUACCCAUUUGUACAAGGAGUACCUUAAUGGUUUUCAAUCGUCAGCACCUGCUAAAGUGCAAUGUUGUUGUUGUUUAAAAAAAGAAAGAAAAAGAAUCUUUAUAGAACUGUGUUACUACAUGCAUCUCCCUAUAGGGUGUGAAGUGCGAAACGAAACGAAACAAAAUCUACCGAAACGAAACGAAACCCAACGAAACGAAACAAAAGGAAAUCUAACGAAACUGUAUAUCCGAACUCGUUAAUUGUAAUAAAAAUGGUAUGGACGAGCAUCUCGUGGUCCCUGUGAAAGUUAUCCCAUAUAUUUA